rnacentral:misc_RNA from 1 species
AAAUAUAUUAGUUAGAGGCCAUUGAAAAUUGGUUUUAAGUUAAAUUUUAUAUGUGAACUCCAAAAUAGCUAAACUGGCUUUUCGAACUACUUUUUCCAACAUCUAAAAUGGUGCUUCUCCAAAAUGCAGGUUGGAAACACAAUCCCUAACAGUCUACAAUAGUGCAUUUGAUUGUUUUACUGUAUAUUUUAAAGUUUACUUCUUGUACG